UAGAAGCAGAUGAAGGAAGGUUUUCUUGGCCUGACAGCAAACCUCAGUGUCAGCCCCAAGAAACUUGAUCUAAAGAGUUUUCCACAAAGGCGAGCCUCAGGCUACCUGGCAGAAAGAAAGAGGCUCCUGCGGGGAAUGGUUCAGAGCACCUCUGUGAAGCUCCUCCUUUGAAAUGCCCUCCAGAAGCACUUGUCUAUCCUCAGUGAUAACAGAAGAGGCAUAGGAAGAUUAGCUUCCCCUCUGCUUCCUCUGUGCAUGAAUCAGUGAGCCAUCCACCAUUAAGUCUGAAAUUUGCUCCCUUUUUUUUUUUCAUCUGGACAGAAAGCUAUGGAGAUCUGGAAGGGCAAGGGGGAGAAAGGUGCUGUUUAAGAGCAACGUUUCAACAGCUUGGAUUUGUAUACAAUAAUGGUAACGCUGCUGAGUCACCACCAGCCCUUCAGCUCCUCAUCCUGUGCAUGGGUUGUGACCGUCCUUUAGUGGACUCUGGAAUUUGUUGAGAAAUAGCAGUAUUUGCAAACAGCCACUCUUUUUCAUUGCCUGGGAGCUGAAAAGUCUCUGUUUUAUAAGGUAUCUCCCCAUCAAAAUUGCAGACCAAACCUGCUGCUUUUGCACUUGGUGGCUCUUCUCUUCAAAUGCAGUUCUGUUGAUGGCAAGAUCUAUGCUUAGUGUUUCUGGCAGAUAGGGCAGGGCCUCCUGUCUAUUCAUUUUGGAGGGAAAAAUAAUUUGUUUGUGAUGGUGAGACAUUUCCACGGGAUGUUUCAUUCUAUGUGCAACCCUUGCAUUGGUCGUUUGCUCUACGUUGGGAUUUGAAGUUGUAAUGAAAUAUCAAUGUCCUGGUGAGUCCCUUUCUGACUGCCAGUGCAGCAGUGUCCCCUCGGCACAGUGCUCCCCUUCCACUGCACUUCUAGCCUGGCUUCCCGAGAGAACGAGGCUUGUGGGGUCUUGUUUUGCAUGUGUGUUGAAGAAAGUCCCUGACAAAGAUCUUUCAGCUGUUGGCAGAUUUCAAUCAAAUUUGUUAGUAGGGUGGAGAUCUCGGCAACUUUAUGUUCUUACAAGUUUUGUGAAAAUAAACAGCCAGGUAAAGAGGAGACAAGUCCUCGUUGAUAUUCCUGCUAUGGGAAAGGCAGGAGCUGCUAUCUCACUACGCAUCUGGAUGGGAGACACAAAGCUCCAGGGUUUUCCCUGGCUGUGGAGCUAUUUGUUUAUUUCCCCAGUCCAAGUCAAGGCAAAGCACUGUGCAGUGAGACGAGGAGCUCAGGGGGCUGGUUUCACAUCUGCCUUAAAGAUGGCUGUGCUGUAAAUGCUGUAGUCAGAGCUCGGUUUGCAGGCUGCCUUCUCACUAGGCCCCUUUGGAUUUCUUCACUCUCCUCUGUGGAAAGGGCCUGUUCUUGAAGUGUGUGCGUAUCUCCCUUCUGGCUUCUGGCAAACAAGUUUUCUUCUUUUUUUUUUUUUUUUUUUUUUUUUUUUUUUAAACAGAGCACAAAUGAUUACCCAGAGUCAACUGUCUCUGGCCUCCUGUCUGCAGAAUCUCUUUUAUGAAGUAAAUGUUUAUGCUUUCAGACUCCCUCUAGGCCUGUAUAAUCAUUCAGCACAUGGCUGCAGGAUAAAUCUGUUCUUGCAGUUAGCAAAGGAGUAAAUGCAUUCUCCAAAAUCCUCAACGAAACCACGAGAAUUGGAGGGACACCAAACCAAAACAUUCUUUUCAUUUAGGCUCUUAGAGCUGCUGGGAAACUGGAUACUUUGCAGAGGAAUUGGCUUUUUUUUUUUUUUUUUUUUUUCCUCUGCUGCUUUUUUUCCUUGAAGUCUGCAGCAAUGGAAUGAGUGAAUUAUUUCCUGGGGCAGCUGCUGUGUAACAUCCAAUACUUUAUUCUUUGAGCUUGCAAAAAUAAAUGCAUCAAGAAGAAGAAAGUGGCAAGUUGCUUGGGGUUCCAGAGAAGCAGGCAGCUCUAGAGAUUUCACCUUUGUUUUUGUGGCAUGUGCUAGAUAUGUCCGUCUUCUCUCUCAGCUUCUGCAGGCACCACCUGCCUCUUGUUCUUCUUCAAGAAAUAGAUGAAGUAAAUCUGAGACACGGGGCCUUGAGGGAGUGCCUGGGGAAGGAGCCAAAUAGAAGGCAGUAGGAAGAGAGAGACCCUCGUAUCUCUUCAAGGGAUGGAGACGAUAGAUUUAAAAAAGCCUUUCAUGUCUGAGCAGCUGGUGAAAGCUGCCAGCCAUUGCGCCUUACUGUUGACACAUGCCUCCAUAAGGAGACGUCCACGCACGACUUAAAGGAACAAGUGUGCUACAAGUGCCUGACUCCAGUCCCUCCUACAGCCCAGUGCUGGCUGUGGGGCCGGCUGGCAGGCCUUCCCCCUCAAACUAUGCAAGGCGUCACGGUCCUGGAGCAACAGCAAAGCUAAAGCAACCAACUGGCUUUGGAAAAUAAAACAGUCUUGCUCGUCUCACAGGGUCCCAGAUGCAAGCGGCUGGAAGGGGAAAAUUCGUGGUUCCUUCCCACUGAAAACAGGGGUCGAGCAGGCAGUAGCUGCAGGUCUUCGCAUGGUGUCUGAAGCGUGAAGGCUCACUGUGAUGGGGAAGGCUCACUCUCGCUUUUACAAGCGGCACAGACUGGGGUGAAAGGGAAGAUAGAGUCAUCGCGUGGGGGAGAUCAGCGUUGAGAUGUGGAGGAAAGGAAGCUGAAGUCUGUGUGACCUGCACCUCCUCGGCUUUGCAGCAUACUGAAGUCAGCAUGGCAUAGGCAAGGGCUUCAUUUUGUCCCAGGCACGCUUCACCGCAGUUUUCCUCUCACAAGUGGUAUUGCAACAUGCCUGUCCUAACCAGUAGCCGAGGAGAGAGCAAAGCAGUGCUGUGGGCUCGAGGAUCAUCUCUAAGAGGCUUACGCUGAACAGGCACCCGGCUACUUUCUGUAGGGUUAAAUUUGCUUUUUGUCUCCCCCAGAGAGCUUCCUCUGCAGACGGAGGAAGGCUUUGAUCUCUGCUUCCCAGGACCCCCUUCCUGCCUGCUUUCCUCCAUCGUUAGUUUUACUGCCCUGCUUCACUGCUCCUGGGGGGCUGGCUGGGACCAGCAGGGUCCCGCCCCGCGGUGCAGCCUGCCCUGUGCCUCCGGGAGCGGCGUGCAGCCUCCUUCACCUCCUGCCCUCCCUCCUCGCAGGCAGCACCAGCUGAGGCAAGGCUGUGCAGCUUGUGGAAGCCCCCAUGGCCGUGCUGAGUAACGCUCUCCGAGGAUGUAGCUGGUCCUCAUCGAGCUGGUCUCUGGAUCGAUGCUAUCGUAGGGACUUUGGACAUCCAUGAGCAGCAAGAAGCUGUGUGCUGCAGCUGUUGCACUUCAAAGGAGCACUUACAGACCAUGUUUCUCUGCGCCUUGAAAUAUUAGAGUGGUCUUCACUAUUUCAUAUAUAUAAUGCAAAAAAAAAUUAAUAAAUUGUUCUCUCCUGCUUCAUCUUAGAGAUAGGUGUGGCAGAACACGUGCUUGGGGCUAAUUUUUGGGGUUUGAGGAGGGAACCAUGUAUCAGUGGGUGUCUUUCGUCUGUCCUGUGCUUGUAUAAAGGCCCCAAUAUACCCUGAUAUCAUUGGGAACUUUUGGGGUAUAAAGACGAGUGCUACCAACACAUUGCCACGUAAACCCAAGCCAGAGGCCCCAGCAGCGUGUGGGGCAGCAGCAGGGUAUGCAUUGCACUGUGAUUUCCAUACUGUGUGAUUUAAGACACCCCCUCACCCCCUUAAUUUUUCGGCUCCUCUUCUUCCAUCUGUGAAAUAAGACAUCUCUUUUACUUUGGAAAAGGCUUUAGAUACACAGAGGAGCAGUGCUUUCUUCACUUGUGUUUCUGUACCUGAAUAAGUUCUGGGUUUGCAGGUAUCAAGUGGUAUUUGGUACUUAGUAUUGUCUGUGGAGGCUGGGAAGAGUGAGAAGGAUAUCAUUUGGGGAACAGGUGAUCUGUGUCUGGCCUUCUAAGAUCCCUUCUCAGAGCACAUUAACAAAAUGCACAGACAGCAACUUCCUGGCCAGUAUAUUUGCUUCCUUAUAUCAAUAUAUUAAGUGAAGUGCUUUGGAGAAGGAAAAUACAGAAAUGAAAAAAAAAUUAUGAAAUCAAUAAAUUAGUAUCAUAUUAAUAAGUAAUCACUUCAUCCACAGAAUGAAGGUUUAGACAAACGUUCAACAGGAAAGAAGGGUGCCUGGGAAGGAAAGCAGUGCUGGAAUUAAGUGUAACCAGAUGAAAAGUACCAUUAUCUUUCUGGACAACGUGCACACAUCUCCAGCAAUAGUCCAGAGUGUUGUCACUUACCGUAAUACUAGCACAGGUGUUUGGGACGUUGCUUUGGCAAGCUGUAGGCUUCUUUAUUUAUGAAAGGGCAAUUUAUUAUGUUAUGGGAAGGGUAUGCAAUGAGACAUGCACAUUUCUUAAAUUAAGAAAGUCCUUUUUUAGUCCUGAAGUGGGUGGAACUCAAAAAGACAAACAUGGAAAGUCUCUGCUUAUGUGCAAAAUCCUGACAAGCCAUGUAGAGGACACAAAAUGUCGGGGUGCCUCACCCCAGACUGUUUCACUGGGUGACCUUGGAGGAAUAAAUGUUUCUGGACUACAUGACCAAGGAACAGCAAUCUCAUGGGAGUACUGUCAAUUUUUGUUGACUCCCCAGUAGAGCAGAAAGCAGUGGAACAGCUCACUCCAAGUGCAACAUACUUGUCAGAAAAGAGCUGUGGAGGAAAAAGGCGAGCGCCGGCAUGCUUGUAAGUGGGACAGCGCGAGAUUCCCCGUGGACUGGCCAUUUGUGAGAUUGCUUUUAGAGGCACGGUCAGCAUCGCUGCAGCGAGCCGAGGUGGUAGUAAAUACCCUAUUGUAACCAUAGUCGUUACCAAUCCCCCAGGGUAUAGUACCAGCAGAAUACCUUAUAUAAACAAAAGUGAGGGACUAUUGGCUUUGCUCUGCACGGCUGUUUAAUAAUGCUCCACACGGAGAGUGUCAGAGUGUUUUACAGGCGCUAAUGAAAUUAGCUGCUUUCCAUCCAGGAGACACCUGGGUAGAAGAGGACAUUCUGCAGCCCCUGGCCAACUUUACAGCCACCUCCCGGCUGGUUUCCACCACCUGGCAUGAGGGCAGUGAGGGUAGAGGUGGACCUCGUGUCUGCUUGCAGUGGUUGAGCUUCAAGACUUCUCCUGUAUGGCUGCUGACUGCAAAUAGCAGCUGUCUGGGUGCUGGGGACACUGGAGCCGGGCCCUCCUGCUCAGAUUGUGCAACGCCAAAGCUGAGCUCUUCAGCCUAGGCAUGCUCUGCACCAUUUUGGGACUGUGUUUCCCUCCCUGCCCAGCAAAGCCAACACAAUCUCCUCACAGGGAGUUUCACUUUUUCUUGGUCGGCUGCUUCUCCUUUCUGGCUGCCAGCUCUGAACCACAGAGCAUUUUCAAUUUGGAUCUGACCCUUUCAGAAGCAUUUGCCUUGCACCCUAAUUUUCUGACCAUGACUUUGACCUCUUUGGGUAAAAGGGGAAAAUGUAAAGGCUGAUUUAGUGUGGAAGCCCAAUAGAGGGAAAGUUGCCUGCAACGAUCUUGCCCUUCUUAUGCACAGUAGUUUUGUCACAAACACCAGUGCUGGCCCUGGGGUUGUUAUUGGAGCUACCACUGCUGAUGUGCUUUAAAUAGAUCCUAAGCAAACCUCUCUGUUUGUUUUUCUUGACAUGGUACUGACUGGUGCUUUCCAAGAAAAAAGAAAAAAAUGCUGAAUUCACAGUGGUGACUUUGAUUCCAUCUGGCAAAAGCAAACUGAUCUCUGAAAUGAGAAAGGCACGGCCAUGAAGAGGAAAAGUAAAUGGGUUGCUGCGAGAAGCAGCCUUUUCCUUCUGACCAAGUGUCUGCAAGUCAUGAAGUCUUGCCGGUACUUGGUUAGGAGACCCCUCUCUCUUACGAGCAUACCAAAGAGCUUUCCAGUGCCAUCUGAGCGAUGUCAAUGAGCUCUCGUAUCUCAUGGAAGAUGUUACACUUAAUAAAACCGCAGCCGGGGAAGCAUAAAAUCUGGCUGUGCUGCAGGCUCGGCCAAGGCCCCAGGGAGCCCGAGGAGGAAGGGGGGAGCAGAGGUGGGACCGUGGGGAUGGCAGAGCGCUGAUGGGCCCCGGAGGCACCAGCAACGCUUCUGUUUGCUGUGCUAUUUCGGGAAGUUUUCGUAAGGUAAACAAGGGCCCCCUCUUGAUUCAUGGAGGUCAUUAGUAAGCCGUAGGAUGAUAUUUACAUUUCUAAGGUAUUCGUGCAGGCUCUCUCCCAGACUGCAAGUUCACGGGGAGGAGGUGACCUUCAGCGUUUCUUGUUUUGCCCUGGAUCUGGCAUGCCGGGGGCCUGCCUGUUUGACUGGAGCGCCUGGGUACUGUAAUCAAAAUAAAUCAUCCUUAUCGUCGCGGGCGGCGAUACCGCAAUGGAAACAGAAACAGGCGCCUGCUCUGCACUUUGCGAAAAUGACAUCACGGCGCGGAGCGGGAUGGAAGGUCAAGGGAUGAGCCCCAGGCAGCCGCCGACGCCUUUCCUGAGCCUGUCCCCAGGGCUGGCCUGGCAGCUGUGCGGUGGGACGGGUGGACAGACGGACAGACAGACGGAUGAAAUGCUGCGCCCAGCUGGGGGAUGGUUCCGGUGUUGGUUUUGUGCUUGGGGUACCCAGAGCUUCUCGCGGGUAUCUUUUUACCAUCUAAAUUAAAAUAAGUAAUAAAUAAAGUACUUCCAAUGGGAGAAAAAGAGGCAGUGUUGUGACGUUCUGGUCUAGCCUACAGCAUUUUUUGUAGCAAUUCGUAUUAGAAUUGGCAAAUUUUACUAUGCCCCCAGCUCUCUGUCUCUUCCUUCCCCAGGCAAACUACAAAACAUAACUUUUCAUUUUGGUUGUCUGGUCUGUUUUGGAGGUAAAAAGGUGUUCAGUGAGUAGUGGAACAAUUUAAGAUUUUUUUUCCUGUGGAUUUAUAUGGCUGUCACAGUGCUGAGGGCUGACUUUAAGUGCAUUCUUGUAAUACUGAGGAAAAUGAGCACAUCUUACUAGACCUCGGAGAAUCCGCUCGCACCAGCACUGCUAUGGAUACCAUAAUCAUAGGAAAAAACUUUACAGUUUGCAUGUAUUAAAACCCAGCAUCUCCAUAUAAGAGAGAGAGAGAGGCUGAAGGCUGGCUUGUCCGAUGCCCAGCAAGGUACGAUAAUUCUUUCCCUUACAAGGAGGAUUUGCAGAGACCCUGUUCAGCUGCAUAUUUUCACGCAGCUCAUAGCAGCAACUUGCUACCUCUGAGGCUGAAAUGUUUCAAAGAGGGUUUUCUGGUUGCUGUCAGGGAAAAUAGGCAGGUGGGGAGAUGUGAAGGGAAGAAAGAACUUGGAGAAGCAGGUCCUGCCUCUGACCGUGAGCAAGGCAGCAAGCUGGCCGUGGGGCAGGGAUGAGUGCGAGUGAUGUUUGCGCUCAAGCUGUUUGCUGAGUGCUUUGAUCUCCGUGGGUAGCAGAUGUUCCUUCCUGGCCACAUGCCCUUCAAAGCCCAGGCUGAGGUGCCAUUCCUCCACCGGCUUCUGUGGUCCCAUCUCCUCCCUCCCUGGGAGAGGACGGUCGUGGGGUGCUGCCAGCCCCAGCCACGAGGCUGCAUGUAAGCAGCGAUGCCAGGGAGAGGUGGGCAGCCUGCUGCGGCGGCAUCCUGGCUGUUGGGGUGGCUGGGGAGGGGUCCCCCUCUGUGGAGCCACCCUAUGCUCUGUGGAGAUUCUCCACGCCCUGGUAGGACAGGUGAAGGGCUUUGCGCUGAGUUGCUUUAACGCUGCCACCUCCUUUUCCUAGUGUCUCAAAGAGACGAACCUUAGCUUUGAAGCCUUUGAAACAACAUCAAAGGAUGAAGAUUUCCAGAGAAGCUCAAGGGAGCUGGGUGCACACGUCCCAUUGAUGGUCAACAGGAGCUGGGUGCUUAAUUCCUGGAGGAGCUUUGAAAAUCUUGUCCUACGUGUAUGUCCUUGCUGGGGAGGAAGUGAGGAGCAGUUGGCAGCUCUUUGUCUUCGUAAAAGGCAGAUACUGCCUUUCUUACUGAAGAUGAGAUGUGAUGGAUUUGAAGACAACGUCCAAAACUUGGGUUUGCUGUGAAAACCAGCCACCUGCUUCUUAAAGGACAGGCACUUAAAACUAGCCUGUGAUUUUGCUUCAUCUGAAAGAUAACUCAUAUUGCCACUUGCUCUUCCCCCACCAUCACUGUGGGUGUAGGACAGCCUUGCUGGAAACCUGAAUGCCUCUUAACAAGGAGGCUUUUACCCAUGGAGACAGUACAAUGUCUUUGCCUUUUUCUGUUACCUUUCUCUGGUACUUUAAUACAGCCUGUGUCACUUUUUGGCAAGGCUGUCAGCCCCAGCUGGCUUCUGCUGGUGAAUAUUAAACCCAGGUUGUUCAACUCGACCGCCCUCGAGGGGGACCACAGGGGCAACAUGUGCCUGUCGGGAUCAUCUCACUGCCACCAGCGCCGGUGCCUCCCGCUGCUAUCAGCCGUGCCAGCACCCCGAGGUGCAGACGGGACUUGCUGAGAGCUGUAAGUGCUGCUUGGCCCGGAGGGACGUGCCAGCGGGCAGGAUCGCGGUGCGGGACUGCUGCUGGCACCUGACCCUGGGACAGCCCCGCUCAGCCCGUGCUAGAUGUGGGAGAAGGCUGGGGGCUGCGUUCAGGGCUGGCUUCGACCCUUUCCUGGAGAAAGGCGAAGGAAACUUGGCCUCAGCCUUGCUCGUGUGCUAUUUUGGUUCAAGGUAAUAACAGGAACUAUGCUGUAAAUAAAAAUAGACAAGUGAAGAAUU